rnacentral:rRNA from 1 species
UCGAGGAUCUUCGGCAAUGGGCGCAAGCCUGACCGAGCGACGCCGCGUGUGCGAUGAAGGCCUUCGGGUUGUAAAGCACUGUCGAGGGGGAGGAAAGUCCGCAAGGGCCUGACCUAUCCCUGGAGGAAGCACGGGCUAAGUUCGUGCCAGCAGCCGCGGUAAGACGAACCGUGCGAACGUUGUUCGGAUUCACUGGGCUUAAAGGGCGCGUAGGCGGGCUCGCAAGUCAGGGGUGAAAUCCUCCGGCUCAACCGGAGAACAGCCUUUGAUACUGCGAGCCUCGAGGAAGGUAGGGGCAUGUGGAACUUCCGGUGGAGCGGUGAAAUGCGUAGAUAUCGGAAGGAACGCCGGUGGCGAAAGCGACGUGCUGGACCUUUUCUGACGCUGAGGCGCGAAAGCCAGGGGAGCAAACGGGAUUAGAUACCCCCGUAGUCC